rnacentral:rRNA from 1 species
UACGUAGGGUGCGAGCGUUGUCCGGAAUUAUUGGGCGUAAAGAGCUCGUAGGCGGUGUGUCGCGUCGGCCGUGAAAUCCCGAGGCUCAACCUCGGGUCUGCAGUCGAUACGAGCAAACUAGAGUGUUGCAGGGGAGACUGGAAUUCCUGGUGUAGCGGUGAAAUGCGCAGAUAUCAGGAGGAACACCGGUGGCGAAGGCGGGUCUCUGGGCAACAACUGACGCUGAGGAGCGAAAGCGUGGGGAGCGAACAGG